CUUUGGAAGUGUCUCUCGCGCAAACUAUUCAGUUUAGAAAAAAAUGAUAUUGGAAACCUCAAUAUCAUUUUUGAAUACCUAUCCAUAGUAACCCCACACGUAUGGGUUUGAUGAAAAAAAAAAUUUAAGUGUACGGUUUAUGACGUAUUAAAAAAAAAACUACUUACCAAAUCUUGUUCAAACCAAUUUUCGGUGGAAGUUUGCAUGGUAAUGUACAUCAUAUAUUUUAUAAGGUCUAUCAUUCUCUUAUUUUAGAAGUUACAGGGGGGGGGACACACAUUUUACCACUUUGGAAGUGUCUCUCGCGCAAACUAUUCAGUUUAGAAAAAAAUUAUAUUAGAAACCUCAAUAUCAUUUUUGAAGACCUCUCCAUAGAUACCC